UACGUAGGGGCCGAGGCGUUGUCCGGAUUCAUUGGGCGUAAAGAGCGUGUAGGACGGCCGCUUAAGUCCUGCGUGAAAUCUCGGAGCUCAACUCCGAGCGGUCGUGGGAAACUGGGCGGCUAGAGUGCGGGAGAGGAGAGUGGAAUUCCUGGUGUAGCGGUGGAAUGCGCAGAUAUCAGGAAGAACACCCGUAGGCGAAGCGGCUC
rnacentral:rRNA from 1 species